rnacentral:rRNA from 1 species
UACGAAGGGGGCGAGCGUUGUUCGGAUUUACUGGGCGUAAAGGGCGCGCAGGCGGUUCUGUUUGUCGUGUGUGAAAGCCCCGGGCUUAACCUGGGAACUGCGUUUGAAACUGGAAGGCUAGAGUGUGGCAGAGGGGGGUGGAAUUCCACGUGUAGCAGUGAAAUGCGUAGAUAUGUGGAGGAACACCGAUGGCGAAGGCAGCCCCCUGGGCUAACACUGACGCUCAUGCACGAAAGCGUGGGGAGCAAACAGG